rnacentral:rRNA from 1 species
GAUGAACGCUGGCGGCGUGCUUAACACAUGCAAGUCGAACGAAGCACCUUGAUUCGAUUCUUCGGAUGAAGAUCUUGGUGACUGAGUGGCGGACGGGUGAGUAACGCGUGGGUAACCUGCCUCAUACAGGGGGAUAACAGUUAGAAAUGACUGCUAAUACCGCAUAAGACCACAGCACCGCAUGGUGCAGGGGUAAAAACUCCGGUGGUAUGAGAUGGACCCGCGUCUGAUUAGGUAGUUGGUGGGGUAACGGCCUACCAAGCCGACGAUCAGUAGCCGACCUGCGAGGGUGACCGGCCACAUUGGGACUGAGACACGGCCCAAACUCCUACGGGAGGCAGCAGUGGGGAAUAUUGCACAAUGGGGGAAACCCUGAUGCAGCGACGCCGCGUGAGCGAUGAAGUAUUUCGGUAUGUAAAGCUCUAUCAGCAGGGAAGAAAAUGACGGUACCUGACUAAGAAGCACCGGCUAAAUACGUG